GAAGGAGUCAGACAAUGGGGGAUAAGCUCCUUAGUCGAGAGGGAAACAGCCCAGACCGCCAGCUAAGGUCCCGAAGUUAAGCUAAGUUUAAAGGAGCUGGGAGUGCGAUGACAGCUAGGAUGUUGGCUUAGAAGCAGCCACCAUUUAAAAAGUGCGUAAUAGCUUACUAGUCGAGCAUUCCUGGGCCGAAAAUUGAAGGGAAUAAGCUUAACACCGAAGCUGCGGAUCCGUAAGGAUGGUAGGAGAGCGUUCCAUAAAUAGGACUGAAGGUAGACCGUGAGGACUACUGGACAAUAUGGAAGUGAUUAUGCCGGAACGAGUAACGA
rnacentral:rRNA from 1 species